GAUGAACGCUGACAGAAUGCUUAACACAUGCAAGUCUACUUGAACUUCGGUUUGGGUGGCGGACGGGUGAGUAACGCGUAAAGAACUUGCCUCACAGUUAGGGACAACAUUUGGAAACGAAUGCUAAUACCUGAUAUUAUGAUUUUAGGGCAUCCUAAGAUUAUGAAAGCUAUAUGCACUGUGAGAGAGCUUUGCGUCCCAUUAGCUAGUUGGAGAGGUAACGGCUCACCAAGGCGAUGAUGGGUAGCCGGCCUGAGAGGGUGAACGGCCACAAGGGGACUGAGACACGGCCCUUACUCCUACGGGAGGCAGCAGUGGGGAAUAUUGGACAAUGGACCAAAAGUCUGAUCCAGCAAUUCUGUGUGCACGAUGACGUUUUUCGGAAUGUAAAGUGCUUUCAGUUGGGAAGAAAAAAAUGACGGUACCAACAGAAGAAGUGACGGCGAAAUACGU
rnacentral:rRNA from 1 species